rnacentral:rRNA from 1 species
UCCUUCCUACGGGAGGCAGCAGUGAGGAAUACUGGGCAAUGCCCCCAAGGCCGACCCAGCAACGCCGCGUGGAGGAUCAAGGUCGUAAGAUUGUAAACUCCUGUUAGAGGGGAAGAAUAACUAAGUUUGGAGCUUAGUAUGACUUA